AAUACAUGAGGUCUCUUGGAUAUAGAUAUAUUGAUUUCUUGUUUGAAACCCAAAAGUUUUAGAUAUACAUAACCUUUUUGACCACUUUGUACAUACAACCUAUAUAUUUGGAUUGAAAUAAUCAGACAAUUUGAUUCACUGGCAACUGGAAAGAUUUCAUUGGCUAGUUUGAAAAGCAAAUACAUUGGCCCCGCCCCCGCAACGUUUCUCAGGAACGAACAAGACCUCCUGUGACUGGCAGCAGGGCAGCAGGAUGAGGACCAACAGUUGAAAUAUUCAAUGAGAAAUAAGAGGAAGAAACAGAGGAAAGAAGACAAGGAACGAUGAGGGUACCAGGGUAGCAGGGUCGUGGGGGAAAACCUGAAGCAAGAAUCCUAUGACUCCCCUGAUCGCCAUUGUCCUGCUCCUCUUGGUCUGAUGAAGUCAGAGAGGAGGACCGCUGCUGGAUGUGCAUUUGCGCUAAACCCAGGAUGUGGAUGAUGAGGACGCCUACAAACACAUCCAAAUUGGAAUCUUCGUUAUUCAUCAUGAUGGUGUUGCACUACAAUCCCCUAAAACACAUCCUUAUGGACAUUUUGUGAUGGGCAAUAUCAAAAACUUGCUCCAGGCAAUGUGCCUGCCCGAUGGCUUGACGUGCACUUCACCUGAACUACCCAAAAUGCAUGGUAAACACAUUCCGGUUCAUUCAACAGGUUUUUCUUGGGUUUGGAGAAAAAGGAGUUGAAGGCCAAAUUGCUCUCUUUGACUAAUAAGCUGGCCAUGUAAGGUCACUUCAGAUUAGUAUUUUACAUUUCCCACUAUGUUUUCAGAUGGAUUGGUCUGUCAUACGGUAUAGUGGUUAAGAUUGAGAUUUGCACACAUGCUACUGUUUAGAGCAGUGGUUCUCAACUGGAACAGUCUUGGGACCCACCAUUUUCCACUCUCAUUCGGUUGCGACCCAAUUUUUUUAGCGUUCAAGUCAAUUCAAUGCAAUUCUCAAAAUGUAAGCAAGACUCGAAUGACUGGUUGCACGCUAUCUAUCUCGCAUAAAAAUACAAAUUGUAUCUUUGACGACAGAUGACACGGAGUUCACUAUCCUAUCAAAAUAAAAGUUGUAAAUUGUUGCAGGAAAAGUUGGAUUUUUUUUUUUAGAAUUACAUAUAUAUUUUUUACACCAAGGCUCCGUGACCCACCCAUGACCCCUCCAGUUGAGAAACACUGGUUUAGAGUAUUUGCCACUGCUGUGGUAGCACCCACUACCUGUGUAGUCAUUGUAGAGGUGGUGGGAGGCUGCUGCCACAGUAGUGGGAAAUCCUUAAUUCAGUAGCAUAUAUGUAAAUUUCAAUCUUAACCAGCCUGUCCCAUAACAAACUGUCUGAACAUAUAGUUGUAGAGGUAAAAUGUCCAGCUUGACCUUGGAAGAUGUUUUUGUGUUUGCUGAUUUGGUUAAUUCCAUUAUUCAAGUAAUCAUUGUGGGCCUUUGUGCUAAGUAGUUGCGUUUUGUAUUCAAUUUAUCUUCAUUUGUAAUCUUUAUUUUAAAAUCUGUCAAGUGCAAUGUACAACCAUUUCAGGACUCUUAAUG